rnacentral:rRNA from 1 species
GAUGAACGCUGGCGGCGUGCCUAAUACAUGCAAGUCGAGCGAACAGACGAGGAGCUUGCUCCUCUGACGUUAGCGGCGGACGGGUGAGUAACACGUGGAUAACCUACCUAUAAGACUGGGAUAACUUCGGGAAACCGGAGCUAAUACCGGAUAAUAUAUUGAACCGCAUGGUUCAAUAGUGAAAGACGGUUUUGCUGUCACUUAUAGAUGGAUCCGCGCCGCAUUAGCUAGUUGGUAAGGUAACGGCUUACCAAGGCGACGAUGCGUAGCCGACCUGAGAGGAGGAUCAGCCACACGGGAACUGAGACACGGUCCAGAAUCCUACGGGAGGCAGCAGUAGGGAAUCUUCCGCAAGGGGCGAAAGCCUGAAGGAGCAACGCCGCGUGAGUGAUGAAGGUCUUCGGAUCGUAAACUCUGUUAUUAGGGAAGAACAAAUGUGUAAGUAACUAUGCACGUCUUGACGGUACCUAAUCAGAAAGCCACGGCUAACUACGUG